UAGCUCAGUGAUAGAGCCCGUGCCUAGCACGCACGAGGUCCUGGGUUCAAUCCCCAG
rnacentral:tRNA from 1 species